AACGCUGGCGGCGUGCUUAACACAUGCAAGUCGAACGGAAAGGCCCUGCUUUUGUGGGGUGCUCGAGUGGCGAACGGGUGAGUAACACGUGAGUAACCUGCCCUUGACUUUGGGAUAACUUCAAGAAACUGGGGCUAAUACCGGAUAGGAGCUCCUGCUGCAUGGUGGGGGUUGGAAAGUUUCGGCGGUUGGGGAUGGACUCGCGGCUUAUCAGCUUGUUGGUGGGGUAGUGGCUUACCAAGGCUUUGACGGGUAGCCGGCCUGAGAGGGUGACCGGCCACAUUGGGACUGAGAUACGGCCCAGACUCCUACGGGAGGCAGCAGUGGGGAAUAUUGCACAAUGGGCGGAAGCCUGAUGCAGCAACGCCGCGUGCGGGAUGACGGCCUUCGGGUUGUAAACCGCUUUCGCCUGUGACGAAGCGUGAGUGACGGUAAUGGGUAAAGAAGCACCGGCUAACUACGUGCCAGCAGCCGCGGUGAUACGUAGGGUGCGAGCGUUGUCCGGAUUUAUUGGGCGUAAAGGACUCGUAGGUGGUUGAUCGCGUCGGAAGUGUAAUCUUGGGGCUUAACCCUGAGCGUGCUUUCGAUACGGGUUGACUUGAGGAAGGUAGGGGAGAAUGGAAUUCCUGGUGGAGCGGUGGAAUGCGCAGAUAUCAGGAGGAACACCAGUGGCGAAGGCGGUUCUCUGGGCCUUUCCUGACGCUGAGGAGCGAAAGCGUGGGGAGCGAACAGGCUUAGAUACCCUGGUAGUCCACGCUGUAAACGGUGGGUACUAGGUGUGGGGUCCAUUCCACGGGUUCCGUGCCGUAGCUAACGCUUUAAGUACCCCGCCUGGGGAGUACGGCCGCAAGGCUAAAACUCAAAGGAAUUGACGGGGCCCCGCACAAGCGGCGGAGCAUGCGGAUUAAUUCGAUGCAACGCGUAGAACCUUACCUGGGUUUGACAUGGAUCGGGAGUGCUCAGAGAUGGGUGUGCCUCUUUUGGGGUCGGUUCACAGGUGGUGCAUGCCUGUCGUCAGCUCGUGUCGUGAGAUGUUGGGUUAAGUCCCGCAACGAGCGCAACCCUUGUUCACUGUUGCCAGCACGUUAUGGUGGGGACUCAGUGGAGACCGCCGGGGUCAACUCGGAGGAAGGUGGGGAUGACGUCAAGUCCUCAUGCCCCUUAUGUCCAGGGCUUCACGCAUGCUACAAUGGCUGGUACAGAGAGUGGCGAGCCUGUGAGGGUGAGCGAAUCUCGGAAAGCCGGUCUCAGUUCGGAUUGGGGUCUGCAACUCGACCUCAUGAAGUCGGAGUCGCUAGUAAUCGCAGAUCAGCAACGCUGCGGUGAAUACGUUCCCGGGGCUUGUACACACCGCCCGUCAAGUCAUGAAAGUUGGUAACACCCGAAGCCGGUGGCCUAACCGUUGUGGGGGAGCCGUCGAAGGUGGGACUGGUGAUUAGGAC
rnacentral:rRNA from 1 species